rnacentral:lncRNA from 1 species
AAAUCCCCAGAAUUUGCUCCUGGGGAGACUCGAACUCACAACCUCUCGGUUGUAAGUGAGGGUUGGUUACCAUCAGACCAAGCCCCUCUUGUCCCUUUGACUAUUCUUAAGUGUUUCAAUAUUUUGAAUUGUUGAAUUGAAUAUUCAAAAUGUUGAAAGGCUUUGGUUCAAUAGGUUUGUGUAAUUAAUUGGUUGAAAUGACUUGAAGGCUCAUUGCUUUUAUAUGAAUUCAAUAAUCAAUAGCAUGUUUGAAUCUAGAUAGGGGUGAGUUUGAAAAGUAGUGAUCUUAUAGUAAAAUUGCCAUUCCUGAAUUUGUUACAAGCCAUAAUGUAUACAGAAAUAUGUGUUUAUAUGAAGGCUUUGAAUUCAAUUGGUGCAACUUUGAGUUGCUGUUAGUAAAUUAACGUUGAACUAAAACAAAGUCCAUCGACAUUGAAUCAACUCGUUAAGCGUGUUAGCUCACGAUAACUGAUUGGUAUAAUUGUUUGAUUUAGAAGAUAAGGAGUUCAUGUUUAUUGAUUAAAAUAAUGGUGAGCUUUGGCCACUUGUGCCUCGUUGUGGUUUAUGCAUGAUUUAUUGAGGCUGGAAUCGAGCAGUUUCUGGGAUUUGAUCCCCUAUCAAACUAAGAGGCCGGCUAGUUUUUGGGAUUGGGCCCAAUUUCAGGCCCAGUUUUUGAGGCCCACUUCCAAUCCAUGUCGAAAUAACACCCAAGCUUUCUCUCAUCAUCCCCAAUCCAAAUCGACAGUCCUCUUCUUUCAAACCUCAGCAGAAGUUCUCGAAUAUCCCUUGGAAGAUUUUCCGUCCAAGACGAGACCUAUGCCAAAUGACCCCAAAUUUACACCGUAAGACCGCCUGAGCCUCCUCUACCUAACCCCCGCAGUGGCAUCUCUCCAAUCUUCCGAGAACCGGUCGAAUAUCAGUUUGAAAAUUUUCGGCCGGAACCCUAGUUGCCCCAACUCGCCUCAAAUGGAUCCCCAGGCACUUUUGGGCCCUCCUUAUGGAGAAUUUGACGUUGUGGGCGCUCAAAUCUCAAUAAAACCAUCAGAAUCCUAAAUUGAGUAACUGGCCAGAGUUUUCUUUUCAUUAGUGAGUUUCCUGGUUUUUAUUUUUAUUUUCCUUAUUUCUGUUUAUCUGCAUGCUGUUACAAUUAGUGGUUUUUGAAUUUUUCAGUUUGGUUUGAAUGUUAAAAUCAGUUAGUUGAAACUUCCAAAUUAAUUCGUUAUUUAUUUUAUUGUUUGAAUUAGUUUUGAAGCCUCAUCGAAAUUGUUUAAUUGUUAUAUGCUUGAUGGACUUAGUGAUUAUUCCUUUAUUUAGCCGCGUUUAGUGUAGAUAAGUAGAUUAAUCUUAGUUUAGUUCAAUACAGGUGUUCAGGCUUCAUUGCAAAUGGGUUUGGGUAGACUAGCAAUUCCAGGGAGGAAAUAAGGAUAGUUUAGGCAUAGAAAAGAUCAAUUUUAUUAGGAAAAGUAAUUUUAAAAUAAAAGAAGGGUAGUAUAGAUAUUGUAUGGGUAGAGGACCACCCUAGGACUUUCUAGAAUGACACUUUAGUCUAGAUUUCAGCAAAAUGAGGGAUUUUACUUGAUUAGCAAGUAAAAAAUAAGGGGACCAAACUGAAACUAAAAGAGGACUAAAAAAGAAAAGCAAAAUCUAAUCUACCCCUCUCGUGUUGCCUAUAAAAGGACUUGAAGAUGCUGUCAUGCCCCAAAUCCGUCGGCAUGACCGGCACUCAACCGGGUAUCCCCGGUUGAGUGGACCUGGGUGCCUUUCAUAUUCCCCACGCGUUACUAUUCAAUGAUAAUUAACCAAAAGAUACCAAAUUUCAAUUAAAAGAACGUAUGAUUUCUCUUUUAUAACCACACAUUAUGAUUAACAGGGGAAACCUUUUACAAAACAUAUAUUUGAUUAGCAAGGAACGUGGUACACAAGCUUACAGCGCUCGAAACAUACACUUUUAUACAUAAGUCCUGAUCCACAUACCAUUGUCUACGGAGCCUCUACGAGAAUGAUAGUACAACACUUGCCGGUGACAAGGCCCCGGCUAUACCUUUACCAAAAGACAAACUCCAAAAUACAACAACAGGAGUGGCGUAGGCCACACAUGGCCCCAGAAGGAAAGGGGCUCACCAAACACGAAUACAGCCGAUAGAGAGGAGGAGGAGGAGCUAAAAACGCUGGACUGGAGUGCCUGCCAAGGAUCCACCUACAAUCAUAACACGAAUGUAGCGCCCCCGGCAAAAGGGACGUCAGUGCACUUGAAUUGUACUGGCAUGUAGAACUAACUCUGUCCCAAGUAAACUCAAGCCAAAUUGCAUGAAAAAGUAUAGAACUGAACAACAAUAGUACAUGUACAACCACGAAGCAACAACCAAAUAUUUCACAACAUUGAUUCACGUAGUCAUACAAAGGGGCAAUCAGUGCCCCACAGGUUACAAACUCUCCCGCUGUUUCAUUUCACAUUUUCACAUUUAUCAUUUCAUGAUUCAUAUUCAUAUCAAUAGUGAUAUUGGAUCACAUUUUCACCAUUAUUAUCUCGUCCACCCUUAUUACCUCGGCCACCAUUAUCACCCCAACCCACACAUUAUUCACCGUGUUGCAGCGCGCAACCCGACCCCUCCUGAUAGUUUUCAAUUCACAACAACAAACAGCACAACAACAAGUAUAACAAAUCAACCAUGGCACUUUGUUAAAUUAUUCCACAACAAGGGUAUUAAAAUCCCACAACUAGGAAUAACAAUUUUCCUCAUGUUCAUCAAAGUUGAUACACAAUUUAGAUCAUCACAACAAUUAUUCACAACUAGCCACACACAUUGUUCCACAAUAUUUUCAUUUCCACUAUUCCACAUUAUUUCCAUUUCCAAUGUUCCACAUUUUUUCCAUUUUCCAUUGUUUCCAUUCCCGCUAUUCCACAUUAUUUUCGUUUCCGUUGUUCCAAUUACAAGUUCCACAACAUUCACCACAAAGUAGUACCACACAAUUUAUACAACACAAAAGCUUCACAAUGAUUUUCACAUGAAUAUCAACUAUCAACAAUUUCACAACUAGCAUAGGCGAUUUCACGAGGNNNNNNNNNNNNNNNNNNNNNNNNNNNNNNNNNNNNNNNNNNNNNNNNNNNNNNNNNNNNNNNNNNNUUUCACGAGGAUCACAGUUAGCCAUACAUACCUGGAAUUGAAUAUCCUCUUUAACCUCUACUCCAAUUCAUCAAGAAAUCAAGAAGGAUCAAUCUAGUUUAUGAUUAAUACAUAGACCUUUAGAAUAGGAAUUCACAAUUUAUUACCCAGUUCCCCCUUUUUUACAAGAUUUUUGAGUUUGAAGACAUGGAUGUGGAUUUCUAACAAGAAUUUCAAAAUCAAAGUAUGAAACUCCCUCCCCAAACCUCAGUUCGAAAAUUAGGGGGAAAAGGGUUAGGGAUUCUACCUUGAAAUCAGAGGAGAAGGCAGAUGCUCAAGAUUUUUUUUUCCGGGCUUUGAUGAUUUUUGAAAGAAUAAUUGAUGAAGAAGUAACUUUCUCUCUCUAGAUCCCUCUCUUCCUCUUAUUUUUUUUUUCAAAAAACGGGUUAAAAAUGAGGGAUGGGGUGUUUUAUUAAAAUAGGGGUCGGGCUUAGAAUUUUAGAAAAUAACUGAGGGAACACGAUUUGCGACGCCUAUCUGCGAUCGUAGAACUGACAUGCGGUCCGCAGAAUGGACCGCAGAAAUGGCUCAAGUUUCAAACCUCUCGCGUUGGAAAUGCGGUGACUAUGUAGUCCGCAUUUGCGUUCUGCGGUCGUAGAAUGCACCGCAGAAAUGACCUUUGAAUUUCUUCAGGGACAAUAUGCGAUUAUUCUGCGGUCCGCAUAUUGAUUAUGCGAUCGCAAAAUUGGCCGUAUUUUCAACAUCAAAAUUUGGUUGCUCUCUGUUCCAUUAUGCGGUAGGAAUGCGGUCCGCAUAGCUGAUCCGCGACCGCAUUCUGGACCGCAGCUUGACACUUUUCUAGAAAAAUUAAUUCUUUGAAUUUUUAAAGGCUUAAAUCACUACCAAGGGUCCGAACCGCGGAGAGCUUCUCUACACAUUCAUAACACCUAAUCAGAGGAGACACCAUGGGUUACUAAGUUAUGAGACAAAAUUAUUUACGGGACCUUACACAUGCCUUGGGAGAAGGGGUCAUAUUUUAAGUCUCAAAAACUCCCACGAGAAAACUCAUUUCUUCCCUUUUAGUUUCAGAUUUAGCUAUUUGAAGUCAAAUAUUAAAAAUACAAAAAUUAGAAAAAUAGAAAAAGCAAUAAAAAAAAGGCCACUGCUCCAUUUGAAAUUUUGUGUUUUAAUUCCAGAUUAGUGUUAAGUUUGUUGAUUUUAGUUUGAUAAUUGGAUCACUGAAAAGCUCCUAAGGUAUCAGUUUAUUUUUGAGCUAGUAGGAUACUUCCAAGGUUCGACUUUGGGGUUUGAUUAACGCAUUUAAGGUUUUUGGUUGAUUUUCGACUCUUUUGAUUACUUGAAAUUCAACUGGAUCACUAUAAACAUUCUGGGUUGCUUUUGGUUGCUGCUCGUUUGCUUGCUGACCUCCUGUUCUUCUUAUUGAUUUUCUGCGUCCAGGUACACCAUCUCGAACCACCUUGAUGUAAGCUCAUUGAUGUUGGAAUGAAUUGAUAGAGGAUUUAUAUUCAAUGAAGACUCCCUAUAAAUCUGGUUGCUACUGUUUUGUCAUGAAUGAAAAACAUGUAUAAUUAGGAUUGUUUCUUUGGAGUUGGCUAUUGUUAAAUGUUGCAAUAUUUUGAAUUGUCGAAUUGAAUAUUCAAAAUGUUGGAAGGUUUUGGGUCAAUAGGGUUGUGUAAUUAAUUGGUUGAAAUGACUUGAAGGUUCAUUUCUUUUAUAUGAAUUCAAUAAUCAAUAGCAUGUUCAAAUCUGCAUUUGUUAUUAGCCAUACUGUAUAAAGAAAUCUGCAUUU